AUUGAACGCUGGCGGCAGGCCUAACACAUGCAAGUCGAGCGGAUGAGUGGAGCUUGCUCCAUGAUUCAGCGGCGGACGGGUGAGUAAUGCCUAGGAAUCUGCCUGGUAGUGGGGGACAACGUUUCGAAAGGAACGCUAAUACCGCAUACGUCCUACGGGAGAAAGUGGGGGAUCUUCGGACCUCACGCUAUCAGAUGAGCCUAGGUCGGAUUAGCUAGUUGGUGAGGUAAAGGCUCACCAAGGCGACGAUCCGUAACUGGUCUGAGAGGAUGAUCAGUCACACUAGAACUGAGACACGGUCCAGACUCCUACGGGAGGCAGCAGUGGGGAAUAUUGGACACUGGGCGAAAGCCUGAUCCAGCCAUGCCGCGUGUGUGAAGAAGGUCUUCGGAUUGUAAAGCACUUUAAGUUGGGAGGAAGGGCAGUAAGUUAAUACCUUGCUGUUUUGACGUUACCAACAGAAUAAGCACCGGCUAACUUCGUGCCAGCCGCCGCAGUAACAC
rnacentral:rRNA from 1 species